rnacentral:rRNA from 1 species
GACGGGUGAGUAAUGUCUGGGAAACUGCCUGAUGGAGGGGGGAUAACUACUGGAAACGGUAGCUAAUACCGCAUAACGUCGCAAGACCAAAGAGGGGGACCUUCGGGCCUCUUGCCAUCAGAUGCGCCCAGAUGGGAUUAGCUAGUAGGUGGGGUAACGGCUCACCUGGGUGACGAUCCCUAGCUGGUCUGAGAGGAUGACCAGCCACACUGGAACUGAGACACGGUCCAGACUCCUACGGGAGGCAGCAUG